AACGAACGCUGGCGGCAUGCCUAACACAUGCAAGUCGAACGAGACCUUCGGGCCUAGUGGCGCAGGGGUGCGUAACGCGUGGGAACCUGCCCUUAGGUUCGGUAUAACUCCCCGAAGGGGGUGCUAAUAACGGAUAAGGUCUUAGGACCAAAGAGUUAUCGCCUUUGGAUGGGCCCGCGUUGGAUUAGCUAGUUGGUAGGGUAAAAGCCUGCCAAGGCGACGAUCCAUAGCUGGUCUGAGAGGAGGAUCAGCUACACUGGGACUGAGACACGGCCCAGACUCCUACGGGGGGCAGCAGUGGGGAAUAUUGGACGAUGAGCGAAAGUCUGAUACAGCAAUGCCGCGUGAGUGAUGAAGGCCUUAGGGUUGUAAAGCUCUUUUACCCGGGAUGAUAAUGACAGUACCGGGAGAAUAAGCGCCGGCUAACUACGUG
rnacentral:rRNA from 1 species